rnacentral:rRNA from 1 species
CCUACGGGUGGCAGCAGUGGGGAAUAUUGGACAAUGGGCGAAAGCCUGAUCCAGCCAUGCCGCGUGUGUGAAGAAGGCCUUCGGGUUGUAAAGCACUUUCAGUGGGGAAGAAAGCCUUGGGGCUAAUACCCUCGAGGAAGGACAUCACCCACAGAAGAAGCACCGGCUAACUCCGUGCCAGCAGCCGCGGUAAUACGGAGGGUGCGAGCGUUAAUCGGAAUUACUGGGCAUAAAGCGCGCGUAGGCGGUCUGAUAAGCCGGUUGUGAAAGCCCCGGGCUCAACCUGGGAACGGCAUCCGGAACUGUCAGGCUAGAGUGCAGGAGAGGAAGGUAGAAUUCCCGGUGUAGCGGUGAAAUGCGUAGAGAUCGGGAGGAAUACCAGUGGCGAAGGCGGCCUUCUGGACUGACACUGACGCUGAGGUGCGAAAGCGUGGGUAGCAAACAGGAUUAGAUACCCCGGUAGUC